rnacentral:rRNA from 1 species
AUUGAACGCUGGCGGCAGGCCUAACACAUGCAAGUCGAACGAGUGGCGGACGGGUGAGUAAUGUCUGGGAAACUGACCGCUAGAGAGGGAUAACUACUGGAAAAGGUAUCUAAUACCGCAUACCAUCUUAUAUGCCCCGAGGGGGUUAGCUAGUAGGUGGGGUAACGGCUCACCUAGGCGACGAUCCCUAGCAGGUCUGAGAGGAUGACCAGCCACAAUGGAACUGAGACACGGUCCAGACUCCUACGGGAGGCAGCAGUGGGGAAUAUUGCACAAUGGUCGCAAGCCUGAUGCAGCCAUGCCGCGUGUAUGAAGAAGGCCUUCGGGUUGUAAAGUACUUUCAGCGAGGAGGCGUUACUCGCAGAAGAAGCACCGGCUAACUCCGUGCCAGCAGCCGCGGUAAUUC